GUAAUUCACAUCCCAGUUCACUGCAUUCAUUUAGAGAGUAUACCAGUAAUUCACAUCCCAGUUCACUGCAUUCAUUUAGAGAGUAUACCAGUAAUUCAGUUCCAUACACAAGGUUAACAGAUACUCUUUCAGCGAUCGGUAUAAACAUCUCUGUCAUUUUCCCUUAAAAUAAACUGGUUCAUUCGUUGGCUGGAGGCCACGGUGGUAAUCAAAUCAACGGGUACAAACCUGGAGAAGGGCUGUUAGAUUUAUUACCCCUAGGUGUGUGUGCUGUUUUUGGGGGGUUUACCAAUAAGUAAAUAAGUAUUUUCUGAACUGCAGUGGUUUAAAGUACUUAAGUAAAACAAAUAAUGAUACUUUAAUGUACUACUCAAGUAUUUUUUUGGGGGGGGGGUAUCUGUACUUUACUAUUUAUAUUUUUUGACAACUUUUAUUUUUACCUCACUACAUUCCAAAAGAAAAUAAUGUACUUUUUAUUCUCAUAUAUUUCCCCCUGACACCCAAAAGUACUCGUUACAUUUAGCAUUCUCAAGCAGGACAGCACUAUGGUCCCAUUCACACACUUAUCAAGAGCAGGUGUUGUCGUCCCUACUGCCUCUAAUCUGGAGGACUCACUAAACAGAGAACAUCCCUGGUCGUCCCUACUGCCUCUAAUCUGGAGGACUCACUAAACAGAGAACAUCCCUGGUCAUCCCUACUGCCUCUGAUCUGGUGGACUCACUAAACAGAGAACAUCCCUGGUCGUCCCUACUGCCUCUAAUCUGGAGGACUCACUAAACAGAGAACAUCCCUGGUCAUCCCUACUGCCUCUGACCUGGAGGACUCACUAAACAGAGAACAUCCCUGGUCAUCCCUACUGCCUCUGAUCUGGAGGACUCACUAAACAGAGAACAUCCCUGGUCAUCCCUACUGCCUCUGAUCUGGAGGACUCACUAAACACACACACAGUGCGUUUGUAAAUCUCUUCUGAGUGUUGGAGCCCCUGGCUAUCCGUAAAUUUAAAAAAAAACUUAAGAGAAAAUCAUACCGUCAGGAGUUUGAUUUAUAUUCUUUGCUUUAUCCCACCAGUUUCAUACUUUUUCCCACCAUUGUACUUAAAGUACAUUUUAAAAACAGAUACUUUGACUCAAGUACUAUUUUACUGGGUGAUUUUCACUUAUACUCAAGUCAUUUUCGAUUAAGGUGUCUUUCGUUUGACUCAAAUAGGACAUUUAAGUAGUUGUUUCUGCUAUAAACACACUUAUGUUUUCUGAUUUAAAAACAACAAUAAACAAAGAAAAUUCAUAUUAAUGUUAUAAUUGUUUUUGUAUAAUUGAUUACAUUGACAUUUUAUCCAUAAAGAUAUGCAAACAAUUUAACUAUUUAAAGGAGAUACUAUUUAAACUGUACAGAUUCAACAUUAUUAUUAUUAUUAUUAUUGUUAUUAUUAUUAUUAUUAUUAUGAUUAUUUGUGAAGACCCCUCUGUUUUGUGUCAGAACAAUCCUCAUGCUGUAGGUCUGUGCUGUGUCGUGAGUCACUGUUUCCAUCUGUAGGUUUUACCCCAUUGACAUCCAAUCAUUUGUUUAUGUGGUGUGUAUAGGUUCAUUGUAUAUAUACAUGCUGAAGGCUCUACGGUCAUCCCAGGCCCUAACCAAGGUAGAGAGGGGGUCUGAACCCAUGCUGAAGGCUUUACGGUCAUCACCAGGCCCUAACCAAGGUAGAGAGGGGUCUGAACUCAUGCUGAAGGCUCUACGGUCAUCACCAGGCCCUAACCAAGGUAGAGAGGGGUCUGAACUCAUGCUGAAGGCUCUACGGUCAUCACCAGGCCCUAACCAAGGUAGAGAGGGGGUCUGAACCCAUGCUGAAGGCUGUACGGUCAUCACCAGGCCCUAACCAAGGUAGAGAGGGGGUCUGAACCCAUGCUGAAGGCUGUACGGUCACCACAACACCAAUACUAGUGUUUUAAUCCACAAUGGGGAGUUGUCACACAUUGUUUAAAUACAUUUUUUUUACAUUAACACCAUAUCAAGGAACUAACAGAUGGCUCGAUCAGGUUGAUUGAUAUACCAGUAGCCUCAUCGUGCCCCCCUCCCUUUGUUUAUUAAAGCUUUGCCAUUUAAACAAUUAUUGAUAUAAACGAGAACAUGAGGUGAAAGGAACGGCUUGAGGGGACAGGAAGAAGUGUUUGUCGUGUUUGUUGCGUCCACUCUUACAUUGUAUUUGUGUUGUCAACAACACUCACUUUCUUCUUUUUCGUUUUGUUGUUGCCAAGUGCCUUUGGCUACAAUCCAUGCCUGUAGCACAGUGUUGCCUGUAGCACAGUGUUGCCUGUAGCAGUGUUGCCUGUAUUGUGUCACUGUUGUCUGUUUCAACUUUCCAUCAAAGUAACAAUAACGCUCAUUAGUGUGGUGCAUGUGUGCCAAAUGGCACCCUAUUCCCUAUGUUGUGCACUACUUUUGGACUAGAUCUCUAAGGGUCCUGGUCAGAAGUAGUGGACGAUAGAGGGCAUAGGAUGCCAUUUGAGAUGUAGAACCUCUUGUGUCAUCACCGGUAGUGUCGUACAUGUCCACGCCUGUUAUUUAACCACUCUGAAAUAUCAUGAGUGAUACAGACAGAGGAGGCUGGUGAUGGGAGGACGGCUCGUAGUGAAACGGAAACUGCGUGUUGGAUGUGUUUGAAUCCCGAUCCAUUUCAUCCCGGUUCCAGACGUUACUAUGGGCCCAUCCUCUGAUUUAUAGUGACACCAGCCACCCCUGGAUACGUGAUCAACACAGAACCUUUGAAUAGCCAAUGAUAAGAUGAUAUAGUCAUUGAUAUAAUGUAAUCCAAUGAACAUGAUGCGGUCCUCUGCUGCUAGUUAAUUACACCCUCAUUUUUUGGCUGUACACGUUGUACGCCACAUCUUAUUGGCUGUACACGCUGUACGCCACAUCUUAUUGGCUGUACACAUUGGACCUUUGGCAGGAACAUGUUGUCAUGUUAAUUUGACUUCCUUCAAUAAAAGCUUUGCCACAG
ensembl:lncRNA